UACGUAGGUGGCAAGCGUUGUCCGGAUUUACUGGGCGUAAAGAGCGCGCAGGCGGUCGUUCAAGUCGCGUGUGAAAGCCCCCGGCUCAACUGGGGAGGGUCACGCGAUACUGAUCGACUCGAAGGCAGGAGAGGGUAGUGGAAUUCCUGGUGUAGCGGUGAAAUGCGCAGAUAUCAGGAAGAACACCAAUGGCGAAGGCAGCUCUCUGGGACGGUACUGACGCUGAGACGCGAAAGCGUGGGGAGCGAACAGG
rnacentral:rRNA from 1 species